UGGACAAAGCCAUCUAAACCCAAAGCAAUGGCUCGAUGGAGUUCACCAGGGAGGAUCUUGCUCUGAUCUAAAUAUACAGUGGAAAUCUGAUGUGAUCUAGGCUGCUGCACCUCAUCUACUAAAACCAAAUCCUGGAAAAGAUUUCUAUGAGAUGGUUUCUGUCAUUCUUCCUAAACUGGGAGCUAAGUGAUUAAUAUAGAGGAAAACUCACAGAUAAACAUAUCUCUGCAAAUGCAAAUAAGUACUAAAGUGCUGGUAACCAACAUCCCCACCCUGGUUCCUCUUAGCACUUCAGUCAAAGGCACACUUCGAACAGAAGAAUCUGAACCACAAAUUUAGCCAGUCUCUACUACCUUCAGAAAGGCUUCCAGAAGUCAUUUUCCUCCCAGACCUCCUAGAUUUCUAAUUUCUCUAUUCCUGCUAGGAGGGACACUACUACCCAAUCUAGGAGUAUCUUGGAAGAUUCAAGUGGGAAACCAUUCAGAUCUGUCUCUUCCCCUCAUCGCAUCAACAUUUUAAUCUGUCUCUACACAACGCAGGAUUCACAAGGGAAGUCUCAAAUCCCAUAGCGUUGCUUACAAGCAGCGUGACAACAAGGAUGAAGCCAGAGAGGCACCUAUGGUACAAAAUUUUAAAAGCAUGAAUUUCCCUCAACCUUAAGAAGAGAUGGAAUGUUCAUAAUGAGGAAGAAGUCUUCUGAUUUUCUAAAUAGGUAAUCACAACACAGAAGAGUGAAGAAGGACACAGGCUCUUAGCCACCAUGGCCUAAAACUGUCCCACACCUCUUCAACUCACAUCCUACUGUCCACAACCAGUCAUCAGUCAUGUGCAACGUUCACACAUAAAAGCCCUGGAAAAUGAAGGCCAGUGAUUUGCCUAGGAAAAGUAAAUUUACAAAAAGACUAAAGAAUGAAACAAUGAAAAUGGGCAAGGAAGAGACCUGGGCAAGAUGGCCAAAUAGGACCAGCUCCUUUCUGCAGCUCCCAAGGAGAUCAAUGCAGAAGGCGGGUGAUUUCUGCAUUUCCAACUGAGGAUGAAGAGAGCAGACUGGCCUUACCUUUGAAUAACCCUAAGCAAGUUAUCAACCUGUCUUAACCUACUUCUUCUUCUAAAAGAUGGGAAUAACAACACCAGCAU
ensembl:lncRNA LINC01661 long intergenic non-protein coding RNA 1661